GUGUCAGCCGCCGCGGUAAUACAGAGGGCGCGAGCGUUGUCCGGAAUCACUGGGCGUAAAGGGCGCGUAGGUGGCCACCAUAAGGCCGCGGUGAAAGUUCGGGGCUCAACCCUGAAUCGGCCGCGGCGACUGUGGGGCUAGGGCACCGUAGAGGCAGAUGGAAUUCCGGGUGUAGCGGUGGAAUGCGUAGAGAUCCGGAAGAACACCAGUGGCGAAGGCGGUCUGCUGGGCGGUGGAUCCGCAAGGGUCCAAUAGCCGACACUGAGGCGCGACAGCGUGGGGAGCAAACAGGAUUAGAAACCCCGGUAGUCC
rnacentral:rRNA from 1 species